rnacentral:miRNA from 1 species
UUAUGGGAGCAGAGUUUUUCC